CGUGGAUAACCUACCUAUAAGACUGGGAUAACUUCGGGAAACCGUAGCUAAUACCGGAUAAUAUUUUGAACCGCAUGGUUCAAAAGUGAAAGACGGUCUUGCUGUCACUUAUAGAUGGAUCCGCGCUGCAUUAGCUAGUUGGUAAGGUAACGGCUUACCAAGGCAACGAUGCAUAGCCGACCUGAGAGGGUGAUCGGCCACACUGGAACUGAGACACGGUCCAG
rnacentral:rRNA from 1 species